GGGAAACUGCCUGAUGGAGGGGGAUAACUACUGGGAACGGUAGCUAAUACCGCAUAACGUCGCAAGACCAAAGAGGGGGACCUUCGGGCCUCUUGCCAUCAGAUGUGCCCAGAUGGGAUUAGCUAGUAGGUGGGGUAACGGCUCACCUAGGCGACGAUCCCUAGCUGGUCUGAGAGGAUGACCAGCCACACUGGAACUGAGACACGGUCCAGACUCCUACGGGAGGCAGCAGUGGGGAAUAUUGCACAAUGGGCGCAAGCCUGAUGCAGCCAUGCCGCGUGUAUGAAGAAGGCCUUCGGGUUGUAAAGUACUUUCAGCGGGGAGGAAGGGAGUAAGGUUAAUAACCUUAUUCAUUGACGUUACCCGCAGAAGAAGCACCGGCUAACUCCGUGCCAGCAGCCGCGGUAAUACGGAGGGUGCAAGCGUUAAUCGGAAUUACUGGGCGUAAAGCGCACGCAGGCGGUCUGUCAAGUCGGAUGUGAAAUCCCCGGGCUCAACCUGGGAACUGCAUUCGAAACUGGCAGGCUGGAGUCUUGUAGAGGGGGGUAGAAUUCCAGGU
rnacentral:rRNA from 1 species